rnacentral:misc_RNA from 1 species
CCGAAAUUUAAAACUCACAACGCGAGUCUCGUGCGGAAGCAAAUAUGACUGCCGAGACUUUGUGACUCUUCAAGUCUUCCUUUGCUCAAGUCAAACCACACUCGUGAAGCACAUGUGACGAGUCUGUGGUGAGCAUCGGGAGCACUGCGUUUCCUUCGGGAUUCACAGUCUAAAAAACGAAUUGUAAAAGUAUAUAUUAGUAUAUAUAAACAAAAAAAGACGUAAAAAU